rnacentral:lncRNA from 10 species
CGUCACCUGCCAGCUUUGUGUGUGCCCAGUGAGGCAAUCCAAUUCCUAGAUGCUUUCUCCAGUUAUGGCCCUGACUGGGAUCUCCGAAGAAUGACUCAGCUGAAACUGUUUCAUCAUUGCCUACAUUUGUCUUCAGACGACCUGCAGUACAAACUUGGCUUAAACCUGCAGUUGACAAUGGAUUCACCGUGGGAGAAUAAAUUACAAUGGAUAAAAAACAGCAUUACAAUCCCUCAAUAAAAUGGGAUUUUAACAGACAAAGGUCUCUCUCUCUUCUAACAUCAAUGCAGCUCCUGGUAUGUGGUCGUUCUCAGGCCCAAAGGCCCAUUUUGCUUUUGGCUGCAACUCUGUAACUCUGUAACAGAGACCAAGUGCCUGCAGGGAGCAGAUGUUUGGGGCAGUAUCUGCUAAGGUGGCUUUGCUGAAACUUGUUUCUCUCAUUGGGUCUUGGAAGUGGCGAAUAGGACGUUCCUAUAGAAAAACUCAGAAAGGGACUGUGAAAGAUAAUCUUAAAGAGGCACUCACGAAACACAAGCUCCUUCUCCGGGAAAAAGAAUCAUCACCCUUGUUAUCCCAUGAAAAUUCAUCUUCUCCUUUUCAGCUGAUAUGAGGACUUGAUCUGUCCUUUCCUAUAAGUGCCAUCUGUGUUUAAAUGAGGCUGUUACUCUAACUCAAAGCAGACUUGCAAGAGUAAAAUAAUCAAUCUUCAUCAUAU